UGUAGUGAUAAAGAUCAGUGACCAAUUCUUACUCAUGCCACACUGGACUGUGUUCCACAUCAGUGAGUCCUCCCAACAACUGACCUGCCUGUGCACUGUUGGUUCCCAUGUGGCAGAUGAGAACACAGGCUCGAAGAAGUGAUAACUCCAAGUCACACAGAAUAUGUAAUCCCAAGAGACACACACCCUACAAGGGUACAGAAGUCACAGCUCUGUGAUUCACGCGUGAGCUAGGAGGUGACGGACACUCCCGGAGCUGAUCUCGCCCCCGUGCACAAUCUAAGAAGCACCUAUUGUCACCCAUGCUGGGGCCAUCUAGAAGCCUGCGGGUACGUUUCAGAACUUAAAUCAUUAGUGGCUUCUGUAAGCUGUUCCAGCUCCAGAUGGAGGUUUGCAGAAGAACUACAGGACAGAUGUGCUGAGGGAAAGCUGGGGACAUUGAGAAGAUGCAGAACCCUAUCCUUCCCUACCAGCAAAUACCUACAUUAUCCUCUAGAGUCAAAACAUAAACAUCCUCAGAAAGAUGGUUCUCCAAACCCUUCUGGAAGGUAAACUCCAAAGGAGUUUGUGAAGGACGCGGCUUCUGCCUAUUUGUCUGCAGGCAGGCAGCAGUGCACGCAUGGGAAGGCUUAAGCAGCUAACGGAAGUUGGUUGGAAUAACUGAAACCACUUAUACCUCAGCCUGUAGUAGUUCUGCUCACCUAACGGUAAACCAGCCAUCUCCAGUGUAAA